rnacentral:rRNA from 1 species
UCGCCUCUUGACAAAAUAUAAGAGGUCCAGCCUGCCCAGUGACCUAGUUCAACGGCCGCGGUAUCCUAACCGUGCGAAGGUAGCGUAAUCACUUGUUCUUUAAAUGAGGACUAGUAUGAAUGGCACCACGAGGGUUAAGCUGUCUCCUUUUUCUAAUCAGUGAAACUAAUCUCCCCGUGAAGAAGCGGGGAUUAUAUUAUAAGACGAGAAGACCCUAUGGAGCUUAAAACAAAUUAACACUUGCUUCUGCCUGAUUCACUUCAUGAACUGACACAUAAAGUAUAGCACCACUGAUUAAUAGUUUUCGAUUGGGGUGAUCAUGGAGUAAAAAAUAACCUCCACGACGAAAAGGGGCACCUCCCUGAGCCAAAAGCCACAACUUUAAGCACUAAAAAAUUGACGCACCUUGACCCAAAUUUUUGAGCAACGAACCAAGUUACCCUAGGGAUAACAGCGCAAUCCACUUCAAGAGCCCCUAUCGACAAGUGGGUUUACGACCUCGAUGUUGGAUCAGGGUGUCCCAGUGGUGCAGCCGCUACUAAAGGUUCGUUU